CUCAAGCUGAGACACUGUUGGAGCAGAUAAUACUGUUGCUGAAGAUCCAGCUUUGCUGCUUGAAUCAGACUGGAAAACAGAAGUCCAGCCAGUAGCUAGGAAAACCACCAGAGACUUUGGACCCCGCCAACCUGCCGGCAUUUGUGUGCAAUAUCAUAAAACUGAUGAUACUAGAUCAACUGAUGCUGCCAGACCUGCUGCAUUCUUCCAACAAUUUCUGUUUCUGUUACCUCUUUCAGGAGCUGAUACAGACACGAUGGGUCAAAUGGCCUUCUUUGGGACAGUAAAGUCAAUGAUUUUAUCAUGUCAGGGAUUUACAUUUUUUGAAUGGGUUUCAUGGAAGAGUUUAUGCUUCUGAAUAAUGAAAUACGAGUCUGAAAGUUCUAUUGAAUUGUUACUGUUUACUCUUAAUGUGCAUUUUAAAGAUAUCUCGAGCUUUGUUCUGAGUGGACACUAGGGUAAGUGACUAUGAUGGUCACAUGCUGCAGCAGGGAGGCAACAUGAAAAUGCUAUGUUGGCACCAGGGGUAUUGAGGGGUAUUUGGAGGUUGGGGGAUGGAUCGACAGCUGAAGCUUUUGGGGUAUGAUAGUCAUCAAUA